GUAGGUGGCAAGCGUUGUCCGGAAUUAUUGGGCGUAAAGCGCGCGCAGGCGGUUCUUUAAGCCUGAUGUGAAAGCCCACGGCUCAACCGUGGAGGGUCAUUGGAAACUGGAGAACUUGAGUACAGAAGAGGAAAGCGGAAUUCCACGUGUAGCGGUGAAAUGCGUAGAGAUGUGGAGGAACACCAGUGGCGAAGGCGGCUUUCUGGUCUGUAACUGACGCUGAGGCGCGAAAGCGUGGGGGGAGCAAACAGGAUUAGAUACCCUGGUAGUCCACGCCGUAAACGAUGAGUGCUAAGUGUUAGGGGGUUUCCGCCCCUUAGUGCUGCAGCUAACGCAUUAAGCACUCCGCCUGGGAGUACGGCCGCAAGGCUG
rnacentral:rRNA from 1 species